GAGUUUGAUCCUGGCUCAGGAUGAACGCUGGCGGCGUGCCUAAUACAUGCAAGUCGAGCGAACGGACGAGAAGCUUGCUUCUCUGAUGUUAGCGGCGGACGGGUGAGUAACACGUGGAUAACCUACCUAUAAGACUGGGAUAACUUCGGGAAACCGGAGCUAAUACCGGAUAAUAUUUUGAACCGCAUGGUUCAAAAGUGAAAGACGGUCUUGCUGUCACUUAUAGAUGGAUCCGCGCUGCAUUAGCUAGUUGGUAAGGUAACGGCUUACCAAGGCAACGAUGCAUAGCCGACCUGAGAGGGUGAUCGGCCACACUGGAACUGAGACACGGUCCAGACUCCUACGGGAGGCAGCAGUAGGGAAUCUUCCGCAAUGGGCGAAAGCCUGACGGAGCAACGCCGCGUGAGUGAUGAAGGUCUUCGGAUCGUAAAACUCUGUUAUUAGGGAAGAACAUAUGUGUAAGUAACUGUGCACAUCUUGACGGUACCUAAUCAGAAAGCCACGGCUAACUACGUGCCAGCAGCCGCGGUAAUACGUAGGUGGCAAGCGUUAUCCGGAAUUAUUGGGCGUAAAGCGCGCGUAGGCGGUUUUUUAAGUCUGAUGUGAAAGCCCACGGCUCAACCGUGGAGGGUCAUUGGAAACUGGAAAACUUGAGUGCAGAAGAGGAAAGUGGAAUUCCAUGUGUAGCGGUGAAAUGCGCAGAGAUAUGGAGGAACACCAGUGGCGAAGGCGACUUUCUGGUCUGUAACUGACGCUGAUGUGCGAAAGCGUGGGGAUCAAACAGGAUUAGAUACCCUGGUAGUCCACGCCGUAAACGAUGAGUGCUAAGUGUUAGGGGGUUUCCGCCCCUUAGUGCUGCAGCUAACGCAUUAAGCACUCCGCCUGGGGAGUACGACCGCAAGGUUGAAACUCAAAGGAAUUGACGGGGACCCGCACAAGCGGUGGAGCAUGUGGUUUAAUUCGAAGCAACGCGAAGAACCUUACCAAAUCUUGACAUCCUUUGACAACUCUAGAGAUAGAGCCUUCCCCUUCGGGGGACAAAGUGACAGGUGGUGCAUGGUUGUCGUCAGCUCGUGUCGUGAGAUGUUGGGUUAAGUCCCGCAACGAGCGCAACCCUUAAGCUUAGUUGCCAUCAUUAAGUUGGGCACUCUAAGUUGACUGCCGGUGACAAACCGGAGGAAGGUGGGGAUGACGUCAAAUCAUCAUGCCCCUUAUGAUUUGGGCUACACACGUGCUAACAAUGGACAAUACAAAGGGUAGCGAAACCGUGAGGUCAAGCAAAUCCCAUAAAGUUGUUCUCAGUUCGGAUUGUAGUCUGCAACUCGACUACAUGAAGCUGGAAUCGCUAGUAAUCGUAGAUCAGCAUGCUACGGUGAAUACGUUCCCGGGUCUUGUACACACCGCCCGUCACACCACGAGAGUUUGUAACACCCGAAGCCGGUGGAGUAACCUUUUAGGAGCUAGCCGUCGAAGGUGGGACAAAUGAUUGGGGUGAAGUCGUAACAAGGUAGCCGUAUCGGAAGGUGCGGCUGGAUCACC
rnacentral:rRNA from 1 species